AAACUGGUAUUUAAUAUUUUAUAAUCGAAGAAUAAUCAUCUCGACAGAACAUUAAUAUUUUCGAUAUUUUGUAUCGCAAAAUUGCAAACAUAUUUACAUAACUACACACAAUCGUUGCAUUUAUAACCUCUCCUCUUUCAAAUCCAUCUUUGUAAUCGAAACUCGAGUUGCGAUAUAUUUUUUACAUCUAAUCGUUUGAUCUAAUCUUCAACUUAAAAUAUAUACACGGAUAUAAAACGAGGGAUAUUACAAAACGAAUCUAUCAAUUGAAAAUUCUUUAUUUGACCGGGGUUUAAAAAGUGACACGCAACUUUCCCUUCGAUCUAAUAGGAAACGCGAUACGGAUUCGAUAUAUUCGAAUGUUGUCAAGAAAGAGAGAUAAAUAAAAGAAAAAAAAAAAAAGAAAUAUCGAAAUCGAGUGGUCUCGAAGAUCGUAUCUACUUAUUCGUAAUAUAAAAUAAUAAAGGUAAAUCGAUUCUGGAUACGCUGAUAUAACUCUCGAAAAUAUAACUCUCGAACAACAUCUGAUUCUAUCUUAUCUUAUAUGGAAUAUUGGUCAAUAUUCGAUUCCAAAGUGAAAACCGGAAAACUCAUAUUUUUCCACGGACGACAACUAUUAAGAGAGGCGGGGGGGGGGGGGGAGAAAUUAGUUUUAAAUCGACUAAUAAGCGACACUUUUGCGAGCGUUAAUCGAGAUCGCGGUAAUAGAAAUAUUUUUUUUUUUUUUCAGGAUCAGAAUAUGGAAACUUAAUUAGGUUACAGGUUAUAGUUUUUCAAAAGUAUUUAAAUGUAUCCGUGUAUGUGUUUCGUGAGAAAUUAGAUUGGAAUUGGAUAGUUGUCAGACGCUGAAAUGCAUUAUUGAAACCGGCUUGUAUAUUGUUAAAUAAUUUCUCGAAGUAAAGUACAUUUAAAAUUGAAUACGCGUGGAAAACUUGAUCCGUUCUCUUUAUUCAUCUUAUAGAAAUUUAUAUGUUGGAAAUAUCGAGCGCGUAGAGAUAAAUUGCGUUGAAAAUAUAUCUUUCAUUGUCCAUUGGAUGGAUUAAAAGAUGAGACAAAUUUGUCUUUUCAAGUUCCAUGUUUUUUUAGUUACAUCGAAAAAAGGUGAAUUUGCAUAAACGCGGUAGAAGUAAUAUAAAAGGAAAAGAAAUUUUUUUUUUCUUUUUUAAUUUUUAAAUAUCAAUAGAUAUUUAUGGAUAUUUAUUGCUUCAUUUUAGAAUCAUGACCUGAAUCUUUAAAGAGGGAAAUAAAAAAAAAAAAUCACUUGUCAAAGAUCAAAGUAUUAAACAGCCAGAAGAUUUUUAAAAUAUUUUUGGAAUUAUAUAUAAUAACUGUAUAUACUGUCGAUUGAUUAGUCUUAAAACACGUUUUAAAAUGUUUAAAUAUAUAUUCUUUAAAUCACUUGGCAUAUCUGAUUGAUCGCGAGCGAAAUGAAAUCGGCCUCUCGACGUUAUUAGAAGCUAUUAGACACACAUGGUGAUCGCGUGAAAUCUGCAAAUCGUUCGAUUUUGUUCGAAGUUUGACGAAUAAUUUAAAUAA